rnacentral:rRNA from 1 species
CAGUAGCCGCGGUAACACGAAGGGGGCUAGCGUUGCUCGGAAUCACUGGGCGUAAAGGGCGCGUAGGCGGCGUUUUAAGUCGGGGGUGAAAGCCUGUGGCUCAACCACAGAAUGGCCUUCGAUACUGGGACGCUUGAGUAUGGUAGAGGUUGGUGGAACUGCGAGUGUAGAGGUGAAAUUCGUAGAUAUUCGCAAGAACACCGGUGGCGAAGGCGGCCAACUGGACCAUUACUGACGCUGAGGCGCGAAAGCGUGGGGAGCAAACAGGAUUAGAUACCCCUGUAGUCCCUGUCUCUUAUAC